GACGAACGCUGGCGGCGUGCUUAACACAUGCAAGUCGAACGGAAAGGCCCUGCUUUUGUGGGGUGCUCGAGUGGCGAACGGGUGAGUAACACGUGAGUAACCUGCCCUUGACUUUGGGAUAACUUCACGAAACUGGGGCUAAUACCGGAUAGGAGCUCCUGCUGCAUGGUGGGGGUUGGAAAGUUUCGGCGGUUGGGGAUGGACUCGCGGCUUAUCAGCUUGUUGGUGGGGUAGUGGCUUACCAAGGCUUUGACGGGUAGCCGGCCUGAGAGGGUGACCGGCCACAUUGGGACUGAGAUACGACCCAGACUCCUGCGGGAUGCAGCAGUGGGGAAUAUUGCACAAUGGGCGGAAGCCUGAUGCAGCAACGCCGCGUGCGGUAUGACGGCCUUCGGGUUGUAAACCGCUUUCGCCUGUGACGAGGCUUGAGUGACGGUAAUGGGUAAAGAAGCACCGGCUAACUACGUG
rnacentral:rRNA from 1 species